rnacentral:rRNA from 1 species
UCGCACGAGAACGUUCUGGCUUUGCCAGAACAAGUACAGUGGCGGACGGGUGCGUAUCGCGUAGAUAACCUGCCCUUAGGCGCGGGACAAUCACGGGAAACCGUGGCUAAUACCGCACGUCGUCUGGGCCCCGCAUGGGGACCAGAUGAAAGCUUGGGGUUACCCAGGCGCCUUGGGAUGGGUCUGCGUUGGAUUAGCUUGUUGGUGAGGCAACGGCUCACCAAGGCGACGAUCCAUAGCUGGUCUGAGAGGACGAUCAGCCACACUGGGACUGAGACACGGCCCAGACUCCUACGGGAGGCAGCAGUGGGGAAUCUUGCACAAUGGGGUCACCCCUGAUGCAGCCAUGCCGCGUGGAGGAAGACACCCCUAUGGGGCGUAAACUCCUUUUCUGAAUGAAGAAACCCCUGUAGGUUCAGGGCGCGACGGUAGUUCAGGAAUAAGCACCGGCUAACUCCGUGCCAGCAGCCGCGGUAAUACGGAGGGUGCAAGCGUUGUCCGGAAUCACUGGGUGUAAAGGGUGUGCAGGCGGGGCAACAAGUCGGAUGUGAAACCCCAUGGCUCAACCAUGGAGGUGCAUUCGAAACUGUUGCUCUUGAGUCCCGGAGAGGCUGUCGGAAUUCGUGGUGUAGCGGUGAAAUGCGUAGAUAUCACGAGGAACACCAGAGGCGAAAGCGGGCAGCUGGACGGGUACUGACGCUCAGGCACGAAAGCGUGGGGAGCAAACAGGAUUAGAUACCC